rnacentral:sRNA from 1 species
GAGUCAAUCUCCACAGCAGGUUGGCUGUUCUGGGAUGACUUUGCCUCUCCAGGAGGAGUUCACAGGGAAGGCAUUCUGAGGAGAAUAGCUGUAAGAAUACGAUGUUCACGGUUGGCUUCACACAGGUCACAGUAUCUGCAGCAAUAGCCCUGACUGAGAUGAUGUCCAUGAGUCCAGAGCUAACAGACAACCCCAGUCCUGGGAACCUGAGAGCCUGGGGCAGACCCACCAAGAAACCCGGCCUACCUUCAGAAGACCAAGAAGAGAUGUCUUCUCCUGCCUUAUGAACUUGCAUUUCUCUCUGGAGACUAUCAUGCAGUUGCUUCUCUAUGUAUCCAUGGCAUUAAUAAACUUCUUAGUCCCCAGUAAUCUUUCAGUGCCUUUUUGAACACCCUACCACCAUCACCACCACCACCAUCUAAAACUCAACAAGAACUGGCCAUUUUUUCAGUUGAUGUUUACUGGGAGAUGUGUUAGCAUUUUGUCUAAGCUCUGCCCCGUGGUUACCUGGCAAGAGUCAAGUGUGCCUGACUCACUGUA